AGAGUUUGAUCAUGGCUCAGAAUCAACGCUGGCGGCGUGCCUAACACAUGCAAGUCGAGCGAGAAAAGGGGAGCAAUCCUCUGAGUAAAGCGGCGCACGGGUGAGUAACACGUGGGUAAUCUGCCCUGGAGUGGGGAAUAACACCGGGAAACCGGUGCUAAUACCGCAUACGAUCACAGAGUCUGCGGAUUUUGUGAUGAAAGGAGCAAUUCGCUCUAGGAGGAGCCCGCGGCUGAUUAGCUAGUUGGUGAGGUAACGGCUCACCAAGGCUACGAUCAGUAUCCGGUCUGAGAGGACGGUCGGACACACUGGAACUGAGACACGGUCCAGACUCCUACGGGAGGCAGCAGUGGGGAAUUUUUGGCAAUGGGGGCAACCCUGACCAAGCAACGCCGCGUGGGUGAUGAAGUCUCUUGGGACGUAAAACCCUUUCGACGGGGACGAAAGCCGCAAGGUUUGACGGUACCCGUAGAAGAAGCCCCGGCUAACUCCGUGCCAGCAGCCGCGGUAAUAC
rnacentral:rRNA from 1 species